rnacentral:rRNA from 1 species
GACGAACGCUGGCGGCGUGCUUAACACAUGCAAGUCGAACGGAAAGGCCCUGCUUUUGUGGGGUGCUCGAGUGGCGAACGGGUGGGUAACACGUGAGUAACCUGCCCUUGACUUUGGGAUAACUUCAGGAAACUGGGGCUAAUACCGGAUAGGAGCUCCUGCUGCAUGGUGGGGGUUGGAAAGUUUCGGCGGUUGGGGAUGGACUCGCGGCUUAUCAGCUUGUUGGUGGGGUAGUGGCUUACCAAGGCUUUGACGGGUAGCCGGCCUGAGAGGGUGACCGGCCACAUUGGGACUGAGAUACGGCCCAGGCUCCUACGGGAGGCAGCAGUGGGGAAUAUUGCACAAUGGGCGGAAGCCUGAUGCAGCAACGCCGCGUGCGGGAUGACGGCCUUCGGGUUGUAAACCGCUUUCGCCCGUGACGAAGCGUGAGUGACGGUAAUGGGUAAAGAAGCACCGGCUAACUACGUGCCAGCAGCCGCGGUGAUACGUAGGGUGCGAGCGUUGUCCGGAUUUAUUGGGCGUAAAGGGCUCGUAGGUGGUUGAUCGCGUCGGAAGUGUAAUCUUGGGGCUUAACCCUGAGCGUGCUUUCGAUACGGGUUGACUUGAGGAAGGUAGGGGAGAAUGGAAUUCCUGGUGGAGCGGUGGAAUGCGCAGAUAUCAGGAGGAACACCAGUGGCGAAGGCGGUUCUCUGGGCCUUUCCUGACGCUGAGGAGCGAAAGCGUGGGGAGCGAACAGGCUUAGAUACCCUGGUAGUCCACGCUGUAAACGGUGGGUACUAGGUGUGGGGUCCAUUCCACGGGUUCCGUGCCGUAGCUAACGCUUUAAGUACCCCGCCUGGGGAGUACGGCCGCAAGGCUAAAACUCAAAGGAAUUGACGGGGCCCCGCACAAGCGGCGGAGCAUGCGGAUUAAUUCGAUGCAACGCGUAGAACCUUACCUGGGUUUGACAUGGAUCGGGAGCGCUCAGAGAUGGGUGUGCCUCUUUUGGGGUCGGUUCGCAGGUGGUGCAUGGCUGUCGUCAGCUCGUGUCGUGAGAUGUUGGGUUAAGUCCCGCAACGAGCGCAACCCUUGUUCACUGUUGCCAGCACGUUAUGGUGGGGACUCAGUGGAGACCGCCGGGGUCAACUCGGAGGAAGGUGGGGGUGACGUCAAGUCAUCAUGCCCCUUAUGUCCAGGGCUUCACGCAUGCUACAAUGGCUGGUACAGAGAGUGGCGAGCCUGUGAGGGUGAGCGAAUCUCGGAAAGCCGGUCUCAGUUCGGAUUGGGGUCUGCAACUCGACCUCAUGAAGUCGGAGUCGCUAGUAAUCGCAGAUCAGCAACGCUGCGGUGAAUACGUUCCCGGGGCU